rnacentral:rRNA from 1 species
AUCCGCCUACGGGGGGCAGCAGUGGGGAAUAUUGCACAAUGGGGGAAACCCUGAUGCAGCGACGCCGCGUGAGUGAAGAAGUAAUUCGUUAUGUAAAGCUCUAUCGGCAGGGAAGAAAAUGACGGUACCUGAGUAAGAAGCCCCGGCUAACUACGUGCCAGCAGCCGCGGUAAUACGUAGGGGGCGAGCGUUAUCCGGAUUUACUGGGUGUAAAGGGAGCGUAGACGGCUGGUCAAGUCUGAAGUGAAAGCCCGGGGCUUAACCCCGGAACGGCUUUGGAAACUGAGCAGCUAGGGUGCUGGGGG